GGAAUAUUGGUCAAUGGACGAAAGUCUGAUCCAGCCAUGCCGCGUGCGUGAAGAAGGCCUUAGGGUUGUAAAGCGCUUUCACUGGUGAAGAUGAUGACGGUAGCCAGAGAAGAAGCCCCGGCUAACUCCGUGCCAGCAGCCGCGGUAAUACGGAGGGGGCGAGCGUUGUUCGGAAUUACUGGGCGUAAAGGGCGCGUAGGCGGAAUAUCAAGUUAGGGGUGAAAGGCCCGGGCUCAACCUGGGAACGGCCUCUAAAACUGAUAAUCUUGAGUCCGGAAGAGGAUGGCGGAAUUCCCAGUGUAGAGGUGAAAUUCGUAGAUAUUGGGAAGAACACCGGUGGCGAAGGCGGCCAUCUGGUCCGGAACUGACGCUGAGGUGCGAAAGCGUGGGGAGCAAA
rnacentral:rRNA from 1 species